AUUGAACGCUGGCGGCAUGCCUUACACAUGCAAGUCGAACGGUAACGCGGGGCAACCUGGCGACGAGUGGCGAACGGGUGAGUAAUGUAUCGGAACGUGCCCAGUUGUGGGGGAUAACUGCUCGAAAGAGCAGCUAAUACCGCAUACGACCUGAGGGUGAAAGCGGGGGAUCGCAAGACCUCGCGCAAUUGGAGCGGCCGAUAUCAGAUUAGGUAGUUGGUGGGGUAAAGGCUCACCAAGCCAACGAUCUGUAGCUGGUCUGAGAGGACGACCAGCCACACUGGGACUGAGACACGGCCCAGACUCCUACGGGAGGCAGCAGUGGGGAAUUUUGGACAUGGACGCAAGUCUGAUCCAGCCAUGCCGCGUGCGGGAAGAAGGCCUUCGGGUUGUAAAGCUCUUCCGGCAGGAACGAAACGGCGAGCUCUAACAUAGCUUGCUAAUGACGGUACCUGAAGAAGAAGCACCGGCUAACUACGUGCCAGCAGCCGCCGUAAUAC
rnacentral:rRNA from 1 species